GCAUCUUGUUUCUAUAAAAUGAGCUGCUCGUACUGCAGUUUUUUCCCCGAAAGAUAUUAUGUUACCCAUGGAGAACUGCAAAUAUGUUGCUACUGCUCUCAAUAACAUUGCUGCCCUGAAUCUAUCAGGCGCUAUCGACAAAGGGGUUGCAGUCUGCCGUGAAGCUUUCAUCCAUGUAUACAGCAUCAAUCAGCAGAACACGCCUGACUCUAAUCCACCAGUCAUACAGUCAUCAAAAAGAGAGCUGGCCCAAGCAACUACAUGCACCAUUUCUUCAACUAUGGAGUUGGGAAAACAAGUGUGGACCUGAAUUGUGAUAACUGUGGCCAAAAGAGGAACAAGUUUGUGCUCUGGUAUUGUGCCUGGCGGACCAUGCACAACCUCCACCACAAUCUGGACCUUCAACUUCCUGAUCACAGGCCACAGCAAGUUUGCCCCUGACUUGUGCUUCUGUCUCAUCAAGCAGCGCUUCAGAAAGAUCAGAGUGAAAACUUUGUCUCAGAAUGCUGAUGUUGUGAAGGACAGCACUGUGAUAGGGGUCAACGUCCCACAGCUGGUUGGACUGGGUGAUGGUACGGUGCUGGUGGAAAGCUAUGCCUGGCAACAACACCUAACAACACCUGUGCUUUAGACCGCUGCCACAGAUCAAGCAGUACCGGCACUUCAGUUUUGAUGUUCUGGAGCCUGUUGUCUCCAAGGAGCGUUCGGACUCAGUCGUGACCAGGUUUCAGCUCCUGCGCAACGCUGUCAUCCUUCCUCCCAUAGAUGGACUGCCUGUAAAAAGCACCACAUGGACUGGACACAGUUUGUCUAGCUUUCUUUUUGACAAGAUCAGGGAGUUAUGUGAUGAAGAGGCUAUGGACAUCACAUGCCAUGCACCAAAGUCAAGGGCAGGACAGAAACAGGCUGUCCGAAUAUAGAUUCCCUUGUUAGUAGAUCUCUGGGUCUACUAACUGUUAGCAUCGGCUCCAUUGUAAACUAAAACAAUGAUAACUAACCUGAACAACAGUAUACAAGGCAUAUUGACAUUUGAGAGAGACAUACAGCGAGGCAUACAGUAAUCACAGGUGUUGAAUUGGGAGAGCUAGCUAAAACAGUAGCUAAAACAGUAGGUGAGACAACAACAGCUAAUCAGCUAGCACAACAACAGCAGGUAAAAUGGCGUUGACUAGGCAGGGAGGGUCGGAUUAACUACACACAGAGCCUGAGUGCGGCUGGGGCCGACAGAUAAAACAUAAACAAGCAGAAUGGAGUACCGUGAUUAAUGGACAGUCCAGCAUGCAUCAGCUAUGUAGCCAAGUGAUCAGUGUCCAGGGGGCAGCGGUGGAUGGGGCAGGGAAGCUAGACUGGCGAGUAUUAUCCAGGUUAAAAAAAAACUGGCUGGCUGUGCAGAAGGUAAAAGGUAAAAGCCGCUAGCAGUGGCUAACAAUGACUAAAUAGCUUGUGGCUAGUUAGCUGGUUAGCUUCUGGAGGUUCUUGAGUGUGUUCUAAAAAUUAAAAAUAAUAGCGAUUCCGUAUCACAUUGGGUGAGGCAGGUUACCAGAAGGUAUAAACGAAUUAAAAAUUGAAAAGAGAUUGAAAGUAAAUAUGGGUCCAGUGAGUGGUUGGGAUGCGGCGAUUCAGACGGUUAGCAGGCCUGUGCUAACAAGCUAACAGUUAGUAGGCCGGGGCUAAACAAGGUAGCAGUUAGCGGACCGGGGCUAAACAAGCUAGCAGUUAGCAGGCCGAAUUAGCAAGCAAGGAGAUAGCAAGAUCUAGAAAGUUAGCCUUUGGGGGACGUCGCGAUGGGGUGAGUCUGUUUAUGCCUCUUCAUGCGGUGACAUCGAUAGACCGGUCGUGGGUCCGGAUAUUGUAGCACAGGAGUAUGCUUCGGUGGUAGCACAGGAGCUCUGGUGGGCUAGCUUCAAGCUAAGUGGGUGGAAACGCUAGCCAGGAGUAAUCAUCCGGGGUUGCGGUUAGCUAGUUGUGAAGAUCCAGCUGAAAAUGUUCCGUUUGCGGUGGGAAUCCGGGGAUAAAAAAAUAAUAGGUCCGUUAUGCUCUGGUUAGAGUCGCGUUGUUUGAACUGGCGAGAGCUUUCCGAGCUAAAGGUUAGCUGAUGACCGGUUAGCUGAAGACCGCUAGCAAUGGUUUGCUGACUGAUAGCUGGUAGUUAGCUGGCUAGCUUCAGUUGAGGGGUUCCGGAUCCGAAGUAAAUAUAAAUACUUUAGAAAAAAAAGCAGAUCCGCGCUACAUUGGGUGAGGCGGGUUGCAGGAGAGUAUUUAGAAGUUGAGGUUUAGCUAAAUAUUUUAAAAGAUAUGCAAAGAAAAAUAUGUUAAAAAAACGGUAUAUACAAGGGACACGACACAACGUCUGACUGCUACGCCAUCUUGGAUCCAAGGUGUGUCUGUCGCUGAACUCAAAGCAGUCCAGAAGACAGCUAGACAUCGAAAAAUCUUCAAUGAAGUGACAUGUAACUGACAUGAAAGAAGUGGUUACCCUUGAUGUCCAGCAGUCAGUGGUAAGGCAAACUGCAGUAGCUUUUUGGACUUUUUCCAUUUUGAAAGUGUUUUCCCGCCUGGAAUUGUGUACACUGGAUUUAGACUAUUGCUAUAGUUUCUAAAACCUCUGUCCUCCACGAUCGAAAAUGGCUGGAAAUCGGUGGCAAUCAUUUUAGCCAAUGCAAUAUCAAUUUGGCCUUGUUUUGCUAGACUUUGGCAUAAACUGGUCCAUAGAAGACUGCAUUGCUGCGGGUCGCGGAGUAGGCCUACUUGAUUGAGUGGAUACAUCUCCACGUAUGGAGAUGCUGGCUCCACCACUAUCACUAGCAGGCCCGCUAGUUUUUCGAAACUCCGCUACAGCUAGCUUCACAGUUGGGUGCACAGUUCGCAUAUGCCGGUGUAGGUUGUGCGUAGAACCGGCUUAAUAUGGGAAUUUGUUUUGGCAAAUUCUACACUGUGCUCUAACACUGUCAACAUUAUUAAAAUGCAUCCAAAUACUACUGUGCUUCCGACUCAUUUUCCAGCUGUUGUCUUCACAGCUGUUCUUCCUCUCUCUCCUCGGCUGCUAAGUGUGUGACUGUGAGUGUAUUGGCUCGGCCCUCCCUCACGCAUAUUGACAGGAACAACAUGAGGCUGUUAGUCUGAGCAGACAGUCAACGAAUGUGUGCGCUUGAGCAUUUAGCCUAUAUUAUUUGAUGUAUUUUUUUCGUUCUUUGAGUUAGUUCAUUCUAUUCAUUUAAAUAUUUUGAUUAUUCAUAUCUUAAUUUUUUUUGUUACAUUUUUAUGAAUAGAUUUGGCUCUUCUGAUAUGCGAGCCGUCUCCCAACGUUCACCUACAAGAGCCCUUAGAGCCGACUCGUUCACUAAUCUCCAGUUUAGAGAAUAUCAGCUCGUGAGAAGUGAGAGCUCCAGCCAUCGUUGUGUUUUCCCACCAGUUAGCUUUCAUUGUGUUAGCCAAGGCCAGUGUGCGUCCUUGUUGAUAUGCAAGUACAUAUUUCAUACCUUUCAGGUGUUUAUGUCUGAAGAUGCACUCUGCGACGAUAAUGCCAUAUUUGUAGUUUCUACUGAGAGCUAGCUAUUGCGAGCGGGCUCUCUCUGUUUUGGCUGUCAUAUCAUUUCACACAUUUAACCCUGUAUUUGUAAAGGAAAAUGUCCCCCAGUGCAUUGUUUAUAUGCCCUGUAUAGGUGUAUGGCACAUCAUUAUAUGGGUAUUACAUUGUAUUUGACUGUUUAGAGGUAUUCAAGUUAAUUGUGCACUUGUAGCCCUGUACCGAAGAUGGUGCUAUGCUUUGUAGCACAUGUGCAGCACCACCACUUUGAUCUUAUUUAGUGCAGUCACAGUCAUGUUGAAUUGCGUUGUGUGGUCCUGUAUAGCAUUAAGUUAUCAUAGUCAUGUUAUAGCCAUGCAAAUUGUUUAUAAGAGAUGUGAAAUGGAGAUUGUAUUCUGUGGUAUCUUUAUUUCUCUCUUUACUUGCAGACUAACCACACUUUGGUUGACGCAAGUUGCCAGACCACUAAGAAAGAGCCUUUGCCCAUCCAUACUACAUACACUGUGCGGUUCCGUGCCUGUGCAGUCAGCGUUAUUAAACCACCUCAACUGGAAUCCUACCAGUCUGUCAUCUGUGCCCUUACCUGUACACGGGAGCGAACACAAAGUGUAUUAAGUAUGGAUGGGCUGGCAUGGAACCGCACAGUGUAUGUAGUAUGGAACCUAACCUAAAGACUAUACAGUUCACCAAAUCCUCACUUACACAAAUGAAAGCAUGAUGUUCACAUGAAAUUGACCAUCCCUUAGUGUAGCAAUCAAUAAAAACAUACGUGCUGA